AUUCUUUCUCUUGUAAAUUUAUGUAUAUGAAACUUAGCAUUGAAUGAAUCGGUGGGGGUUAUCGGUGGAUCACUGGAUUAGGCAAGAUUUGGACAACAAGAACGAGGGUUUUGGGUACUAGUGCUCUUCAAAUCAGCAUGAAUGCACCUGUCAUGAUCGAGUUGGAAGGGGAAGAGCCAAAAGCUAGACAAACACACACUAAGGUCCCGUUUGGAAAAAACAGCUUAAUUAAGCGCUUAUGGUUAUAAGCGCUUAUUCAUUAGCUAUUUUUAAAAAAAAAAUUAUUGAAGUAAAUCAAAAAUAACCUGUAAAUAACAAUAAGCUCUUUUUCAUAAGCUAUCAUUAGUAGCUUAUGAAAAUAAGCCCAAAACAACUUAUGGUUGCAUAAACUCUCUCAAACAUUGACAUACACGCUUAUGUUAUCAGAUAAGUUCAAAUAAGUUCUUCCAAA